AAAAAAACAUUAGAAGAAAAAAAAAAAAAUCAGAAAGAGGGGUGGAGGCAUGGAAAUAGGGUGUGUCAACCUCUAUUUAAAAAGAUUUGUGUCCGUGCUCUCUUCUCAUAUCCCUUUUAUUCACCCUGUCGCUGUCUUUUUUUGGACAAUUUUGCCACGAUGUCAAACCUUAUGGAUGCGAUCGGAAUGAUCUACGCUAUCUUCCAUGAGCAUGCUGGACCAGAUAAAAAACUGAACAAGGCAGAAGUUGUUAAACUGGUCCGCAAAGAGCUUGGGAAAGGAGACUCUGGCAAAGCAGCGGAAAGUUUCUUCAAAACAAUGGAUGACGACAAGGAUGGUUUUGUCGAUUUCAAUGAGUUUACUACUUUUGUUGCAGCCUCAUGCAUCCUCCUGAACGAAUCACUGCGGUCAAGCCAGCCGUAACUUCGAUCUCCGUGGUCAAACCAGCCGCACGUAAAUUUCAAGUGUGCGAUUAUUCUCAGCAUUACGGUAAAUGCGAAGAAACAGUGCAUUCUCUUCGGGUUUUCAAAAUAAAGGUAUUAUGAAUAUUAAGGUGUAAUUCGAACCUACAUUUAAAAUAAAAUAUGUUGCAUUAAAGUUUUCCAUGCGCCCAUGAUGAAUAAAAAACACCUCGUAUCGAGUAUCUUUACUCUGCCAGUGUGGAUAAAUGUAAAAAUAAAAAUCCCAUAUUUAUGCCUCCA